rnacentral:tRNA from 1 species
GCGGAAGUGGCGGAAUUGGCAGACGCGCUAGCUUGAGGGGCUAGUGGCAGAGAUGUUGUGGGGGUUCAAAUCCCCCCUUCCGCA